UCUGGGCUGCACAAACACAGCCGCCUCAGCGCUCCUUGUACAUUAUACAAGCAAUGUGGGCUUGCACCACAGUUACAGACAAUAGGAAACCUUUCUCCAUUAUCUGUGGAGGACGAAGUUACUGAAAAGGCUGCCAGGAAAGCUGCGUAACAACAGCGCAUGAAGGAGCAGAGUGUUCCCCUUUCUGAGAGUGAAACUCCAGGGAUUUUUUCUGACCUCAUUUGUUCAAUAUGCUUGAAGAUCUAUCUGUCCACUACUAAGAAGUCAAGGGCAUGACAAAGCCUGGCCAUUUAGAGAACAGCUUUCUGGAAGUGAGGAACCUGGACCAGCUGCCAGGGAAGGCACUGAGCAAUCUGGAGGGGAUGGAUGCAGAGAUGUCCUGAUCAAGACUGGCAAGGAAACCAAGUAGAGACAACUGUUCCCUACAUCCAUAUUUGAUCCAGAUGAGAUUUUCACUCAUGUCCAGAUAACACUGCUUCCUUGAGAUCCCCUCUACUUUCUUUUCCUGGCCUGUCUGACGAGUGUCUAACACAAACAGCACAACUUGUGUGCAUAGCACUGGGUGAACAGUGACCAGAGCUGGGCUCUUCCCGUGUUUGGUGUGCAGGGAUGCUCAGACAGGCACCAGCUGACCUCCUGGGGUUGAGCUGCAAAACCACUAUUGUCCUGUACUAGGGAAAACAGGUCUCCCCACUGCUCAUCUGCCUCUAAGACCCUCAGGGCAAUGGGAUGUGUUGUGACAGGGUGCUGGUGUCUCCACCAAGGUUAAGGUGACACCAGGAUUCCUGGGCAUGGGCACUGAGAUGCUAUAUCAAAAGUGCUCUGAAAUUAAUUUUGAGAAUUGGGCCAUUUAUAUGUUGGUAAACUCAGCAAGGCUGUAUAGCAGUGUUUCCAUGUGAAGGUGCAGGCUGAUGGUUAGUUAUGACAAAUUAAAUACCAGCAACUACUUAGAUAAGUUAUACAGGAGUGGAUGGCAGUGGAUCAAGGAUAGGGGGAAGAAAAAGUGGAGGAAAAUGAGGGAGUGGAAGCACUGGCAAAGAAAAAUGAGAAAAAAUCAAAAACAUACAACAUUUGCCAACUGAGAUAAAUGUUGCAAAGAUUUUUUUUAAAAGCUGGAAAUGUUCCUUUUCAAUAUAGCUGGGACAAAAAUACAGAUGACUGAAUUCCUG
rnacentral:lncRNA from 1 species